CAAGGAACUGAGUCCCUAUCUACUGAUUGAGUAAAUGAAGGGCAACUGAGAGGUGAGAAGCUGAAAGCAGUGACUUCCAAGUCUUUCUUGUGGAUGAAAAGGAUCCUCAAAUGGCCAGAAAGAGGCGAAGCUACUCCCAUCAGACGGCCCCUUCUGGGGGACAUGCAGCGCUGAACCCUUUGACUCGCACAUCUGGGAACCUGCACUCAAAAAUCACCACCACUCCUACUGGCUCAGGACGGAUCCCGGAUUCGCCAGGUCUGCAGGAUUAGGCGCGUGAACACCAGACCUCAGACAGCCACCACCCUCCCCA
rnacentral:lncRNA from 1 species